UUAAUAUGAAAUCUUCUAAACAAUUUGGCCAUUACUACCAAAUCCGUUAUCCAUUUUCCUUGUGAAGUUGAGCACCAUAGGCUUUGAAUCUUUAGAAUCCCCUUUUAGCACAAUCUCUAGGAAGUACGAUUUGAUACACCUCUUCCUUGGCAUCGACCACCAUAUCCAUAGUCGCCGCCGCCGCCACCACCACGACGUCUACAAUAACCGCCACGUGAUUGACCGUUACCGCAGAAAGCUUCUCUUGUUUCCCCAAACUCUAGCAGAUUAGUCACGCCUAUUCAUCUCAAUAAGUUCGUCUAUUCAAAC
rnacentral:lncRNA from 1 species